rnacentral:tRNA from 7 species
GCCGAUGUGGUGGAAUUGGUAGACACGCCGGAUUCAAAAUCCGGUUCCUCACGGAGUGACGGUUCGACCCCGUCCAUCGGUACCA